CUUACCUGGUUCAUAAAUCCUUCAGCUUCCUGGUUUGGAGUCAAACAAGUCUUCAGUCUUCUCUCCUCAAGCAGAGAUUACUCUGCGAUGCUGCAACAACUGGCAUCUGGGCCCACCGUGCUUCACCUUUCCUUUUAUAGGUGCCUUUUGCCACGUGACGUUGUAGCUCCUCCUUUACUAAAAGGAUACAGUAUGUUUUCUUUCUUCUGACUUUGGGCUUGGCCAUGAGGUGGCAACCCACUCCAGUAGUCUUGCCUGGAGAACCCCACGGACAGAGAAGCCUGGCAGGCUACAGUCCAUGGGGUCACAAGAGUUGGACACGACUGACCGACUAAACCACCACCACCAUCACGAGACUUGUUUGGGCAAACAGAAUAUAGCAGAAAUGAUAGUGUAUCCGCUCUGGGUCUGUGGCGCCUCAAGACACCUUGCAACUUUCAAGUCUCUUGCUUAAUCCUCUGCUGUUACCGUGAGGAAGACUUGCCUUAAGUAUUCAGUUCAUCAGAGGGAGAUGAGGGAUGUGUGGGGAAGAGCUGCCCCAGCUGAGCCCAAUUUAGGUUAACCAGCCCUUCUAGGCCCCACAGGUGCAUGAGAUAAACCAUUUCUUCUUUUGUGAGCUGCUGAGAACUCUGGUUGUGCAUUACCCAGGUUUAUUGAAGCAACUGUUAAUCCAGACACUGACCCUCCAAAGUUAAUCAUUUCUUCUGGCACCAUGAGAGUGAGGUCAGCACCAAACCCUUCGGGCCCUUUCCACUUGGACUCUUUUUCAUUUGUCUAUUAUCUCUGCAUGGUAACAACAUGGUCACUCCCCUAACCAAACUGCAUUCCUGUUUUUAAGCCAUAGUUAAAAGAAAUUUCUUUUGAAAUAAUAGUGGAGAAAAUGCAAGGUCCUUUUUAAGAAAAAGAAUGGAGAAUCCAUGCAUGGGAAUAUGCAUCUCUUCUUGAACCAUCCUCUACAGCCAAAGAUUUAAAUCCAGCACUUAAGAUUAUCUGAACGCAGAGCCACUAAAACAAAACAGAACAGAAACUUAAAAUCUGCCAUUGUGCUAGCAUUCACAUCUCUUGGGAUGAUAUGAAAUAGGAGGGGUUAAGAGUCACUCAGUUGUGCUCUUGGAUGAUCACAGAGCUAUCUUUAGAACCAGGCAGAACCAGGUUACUGAAGCACAAACUAACGGUGUAUGCCUGGGAAGCAAAAUUCAUAGGGACUGGCUAAUAAGCUGAUGCUGCUUUUCUUAACUGGCUGAGAAGUUGAUCGUCACCUGAAAAGUUCAUGAUCCGGAAUUAACCUUUGGAUCCAAAGUGAAAGUGAAGUCACUCAGUCGUGUCCGACUCUUCGCGACCCCGUGGACUGUAGCCCACCAGGCUCCUCCGUCCAUGGGAUUCUCCAGGAUUUUCUCUGCUCCAUAAUCCUCCCUCAGAAGUUUUCAGACACUGAAGAAAUUUUCAAAGAUUAACCUUUGGAAAAAGUUGUCUUUUUAGAAAAGACAAAAGGAAAAAAAAAACCUAUGUGAAAUUUCCCAGAGACUCUCCUUCUAAUUUACACUAAUAGAUAUGCAGGUCAUAUGGAAAAUUAAACACCAAAAUUUGAAUUUUGGGGGCAAGAGAAUUUAUGCACACAAAUCCUAUUACCAGCUAAUGGGAUUUGUGGGGAUCCCCAGUGACCUAUUUAGAAAAUGUACCCCCUGCUGUUCAAGAUGAAUAUAUCAUGUGAGCUAAACCAGAAUACUUAGUCCUGCAGUUGGCUUUAUCCCCAGUCUGUCUGAGUGAUCCCUCCAUGAUUUCUAAAAGAUGCUGGCAACCAUAGCAGUUUGCAUAUCUGACUGACAGUGCAAAAUGACAUCUAUAUUUUCACUUUUAAGUUCUCCAAAAUUUGUUGCAAAUAUUUUUUAAAGGCCUCUUCCUUCCUUUCUCCUUUCCUCUCUACCCUUCCUUCCUCCUCCUUUUUUUCCUCCUUGUCUUCCUGCUCUCCUUUUUCUCCUCACUUUCUUCUCCUUAUUCUUAAAUGUAGAAAAGAAGUGAAGCAAGCAUUAAGGCAUUAAUAUUCUCUUUCUCUCUGUACUUGGUUGAAGAGAUCGAGGCUCCUGUCACAGUUCAAGUACCUGUCACUGCAGUGGUUUCAGAACUCUCUCGUGAGACAAAUAUACACAUGUUUUUGGAGAACCGUUUCUAAGUCAGGACUGUCAGGUGCUGAGAAAACCAAAUCACCAUGAGUGUGGAAGUGUCUGGGGGUAUUGAUACUGCACUCCUGUCUGUACAAUACUCCCUUGGCAAAACACCAGUUUUCUCUGGGACAUGGUCUCUCACCAACCUCCUGCAGCCCUCUGACUGGAUACAAAAUCACCCCUUCCUUCAAAAGGGCGUGUUUCUAUUUACCAGCCAAUGAAACAUCUAUGUCCAC
ensembl:lncRNA